GGGUUUCGGGGAGGGGGG
rnacentral:miRNA from 1 species